GCUCAGGAUGAACGCUAGCUACAGGCUUAACACAUGCAAGUCGAGGGGCAGCAUUUUAGUUUGCUUGCAAACUAAAGAUGGCGACCGGCGCACGGGUGAGUAACACGUAUCCAACCUGCCGAUAACUCGGGGAUAGCCUUUCGAAAGAAAGAUUAAUAUCCGAUAGUAUAUUAAAACCGCAUGGUUUUACUAUUAAAGAAUUUCGGUUAUCGAUGGGGAUGCGUUCCAUUAGUUUGUUGGCGGGGUAACGGCCCACCAAGACUACGAUGGAUAGGGGUUCUGAGAGGAAGGUCCCCCACAUUGGAACUGAGACACGGUCCAAACUCCUACGGGAGGCAGCAGUGAGGAAUAUUGGUCAAUGGACGAGAGUCUGAACCAGCCAAGUAGCGUGAAGGAUGACUGCCCUAUGGGUUGUAAACUUCUUUUAUAUGGGAAUAAAGUAUUCCACGUGUGGAAUUUUGUAUGUACCAUAUGAAUAAGGAUCGGCUAACUCCGUGCCAGCAGCCGCGGUAAUACGGAGGAUCCGAGCGUUAUCCGGAUUUAUUGGGUUUAAAGGGAGCGUAGGUGGAUUGUUAAGUCAGUUGUGAAAGUUUGCGGCUCAACCGUAAAAUUGCAGUUGAAACUGGCAGUCUUGAGUACAGUAGAGGUGGGCGGAAUUCGUGGUGUAGCGGUGAAAUGCUUAGAUAUCACGAAGAACUCCGAUUGCGAAGGCAGCUCACUAGACUGCAACUGACACUGAUGCUCGAAAGUGUGGGUAUCAAACAGGAUUAGAUACCCUGGUAGUCCACACAGUAAACGAUGAAUACUCGCUGUUUGCGAUAUACAGUAAGCGGCCAAGCGAAAGCAUUAAGUAUUCCACCUGGGGAGUACGCCGGCAACGGUGAAACUCAAAGGAAUUGACGGGGGCCCGCACAAGCGGAGGAACAUGUGGUUUAAUUCGAUGAUACGCGAGGAACCUUACCCGGGCUUAAAUUGCAUUUGAAUAAUCUGGAAACAGGUUAGCCGCAAGGCAAAUGUGAAGGUGCUGCAUGGUUGUCGUCAGCUCGUGCCGUGAGGUGUCGGCUUAAGUGCCAUAACGAGCGCAACCCUUAUCUUUAGUUACUAACAGGUCAUGCUGAGGACUCUAGAGAGACUGCCGUCGUAAGAUGUGAGGAAGGUGGGGAUGACGUCAAAUCAGCACGGCCCUUACGUCCGGGGCUACACACGUGUUACAAUGGGGGGUACAGAAGGCAGCUACCUGGUGACAGGAUGCUAAUCCCAAAAACCUCUCUCAGUUCGGAUCGAAGUCUGCAACCCGACUUCGUGAAGCUGGAUUCGCUAGUAAUCGCGCAUCAGCCAUGGCGCGGUGAAUACGUUCCCGGGCCUUGUACACACCGCCCGUCAAGCCAUGAAAGCCGGGGGUACCUGAAGUACGUAACCGCAAGGAGCGUCCUAGGGUAAAACUGGUA
rnacentral:rRNA from 1 species